CCAUAUCAUGUGGUUCUAGAGUGAUAUGUUGCUUCCACAUAAAUAUAAAGAACUAGAAUUAUGUGUAGGCAAAUACGAUUUAGGAAUUUUAUCAAACCAUCACCAAAACUAUUUUAAGAGACAAACAAGCAAUUACAUUUGAAGUGCACAGUAAAAUAUUAAUCAUGUUUCCAGUUCUCUAAUUCCAAAGUUGUGAUCUCACAUUUAUAUCCAUCUGCCACUCUUGUAUCACCUAAUUCUGAGCCAUCUGGAUUCUUGCUUUAGAAGAAGGCUAUUACACAUCGUUUUGGACAUUCAAAAUCUACCGAUUAAUUACAUAAUUCAUUGGCAUGUAAGGCCCAAGCAUGUUGAGCUUAUAGCUGGUCCCGUACUAUAAUGAUACAACCGACGUCCAAACGUAUAUUUCCACACCCUUCUAGCUAUUAAAGUAUAACAUAGAGAUCAAUUAUUUGUCACCGCUGCCAUUCCCUUGGUUACUUCCAUCACCUCCUGCUGAGCCACGACUAUUGUAAUCAUUUCUAGGUAUGUUAUGAUGGUUAUCAAUCGUGCUCCCUGAGUACUCAAGAGUGCUUUUUGCCUUGGCAAUCUCUUCUCCAUGGGUUUGAUCCGUAAGGACUAUGUCACGCAGGGCUGAAGUUUUGGUCAUCAUGGUCAUAAUAAGAAGAAGAAGAGCUAUUAACUUCAUCUGUGAUUCAGUUGCUGUUUGCAAUAGUCAAUAUACACAAUUUAGCAACAAUAAACAUGUAAAUCAGUUCUAUUUAGAAGUGUAGUCAACAGAAACAAAUCAAAGAUGAAGAAAAAGAUAAAUAUAUAAGAACUACCCACCUAGAAAAAGCUUUGCAGAUUUCGAGGGCCGCU
rnacentral:lncRNA from 1 species